rnacentral:tRNA from 1 species
GGAGGGGUGGCAGAGUGGCCGAUUGCUCCGGUCUUGAAAACCGGUGUGGGAGAAAUCCCACCGAGGGUUCGAAUCCCUCCUCCUCCG